rnacentral:rRNA from 1 species
GACGAAGGAUGCAAGCGUUAUCCGGAUUCAUUGGGUUUAAAGGGAGCGUAGGUGGCCUUAUAAGUCAGUGGUGAAAUCUCUGGGCUUAACUCAGAAACUGCCAUUGAUACUAUCAGUCUUGAAUACCGUGGAGGUCAGCGGAAUAUGUCAUGUAGCGGUGAAAUGCUUAGAUAUGACAUAGAACACCAAUUGCGAAGGCAGCUGGCUACACGAAUAUUGACACUGAGGCACGAAAGCGUGGGGAGCAAACAGG